CACUCCUGCGGGAGGCAGCAGUGGGGAAUUUUGGACAAUGGGCGAAAGCCUGAUCCAGCCAUGCCGCGUGCAGGAUGAAGGCCUUCGGGUUGUAAACUGCUUUUGUACGGAACGAAACGGCCUUUUCUAAUAAAGAGGGCUAAUGACGGUACCGUAAGAAUAAGCACCGGCUAACUACGUGCCAGCAGCCGCGGUAAUACGUAGGGUGCAAGCGUUAAUCGGAAUUACUGGGCGUAAAGCGUGCGCAGGCGGUUAUGUAAGACAGUUGUGAAAUCCCCGGGCUCAACCUGGGAACUGCAUCUGUGACUGCAUAGCUAGAGUACGGUAGAGGGGGAUGGAAUUCCGCGUGUAGCAGUGAAAUGCGUAGAUAUGCGGAGGAACACCGAUGGCGAAGGCAAUCCCCUGGACCUGUACUGACGCUCAUGCACGAAAGCGUGGGGAGCAAACAGGAUUAGAAACCCUGGUAGUCCCA
rnacentral:rRNA from 1 species